rnacentral:rRNA from 1 species
GUGGUAAUGCCGGAUGCUCCAGUUGACCGCAUGGUCCUCUGGGAAAGCUUUUGCGGUAUGGGAUGGGGUCGCGUCCUAUCAGCUUGAUGGCGGGGUAACGGCCCACCAUGGCUUCGACGGGUAGCCGGCCUGAGAGGGCGACCGGCCACAUUGGGACUGAGAUACGGCCCAGACUCCUACGGGAGGCAGCAGUGGGGAAUAUUGCACAAUGGGCGCAAGCCUGAUGCAGCGACGCCGCGUGCGGGAUGACGGCCUUCGGGUUGUAAACCGCUUUUGACUGGGAGCAAGCCCUUCGGGGUGAGUGUACCUUUCGAAUAAGCACCGGCUAACUACGUGCCAGCAGCCGCGGUAAUACGUAGGGUGCAAGCGUUAUCCGGAAUUAUUGGGCGUAAAGGGCUCGUAGGCGGUUCGUCGCGUCCGGUGUGAAAGUCCAUCGCUUAACGGUGGAUCCGCGCCGGGUACGGGCGGGCUUGAGUGCGGUAGGGGAGACUGGAAUUCCCGGUGUAACGGUGGAAUGUGUAGAUAUCGGAAAAGAACA